GGCUCAGAACGAACGCUGGCGGCGUGCUUAACACAUGCAAGUCGAAACGCGAAAGGGGACUUCGGUCCUGAGUAAAGUGGCGCACGGGUGAGUAACGCGUAGAUAACCUGUCUUCAUGUCUGGAAUAAUACGCCGAAAGGGGUACUAAUACCGGAUAUUCUUGCUUUUCAUAAGUUAUGCAAGCAAAGGUGGCCUCUGCAUAUGCUACUGCAUGAAGAGGGGUCUGCGUACCAUUAGCUAGUAGGUGGGGUAAUGGCCUACCUAGGCGACGAUGGUUAGCGGGUCUGAGAGGAUGAUCCGCCACACUGGCACUGGAACACGGGCCAGACUCCUACGGGAGGCAGCAGUGAGGAAUAUUGCGCAAUGGGGGAAACCCUGACGCAGCGACGCCGCGUGAGUGAGGAAGGCCUUCGGGUCGUAAAGCUCUGUCAAGAGGAAAGAAGUGUACAAUGGCUAAUACCUGUUGUAUUUGACGGUACCUCUAAAGGAAGCACCGGCUAACUCCGUGCCAGCCGCCGC
rnacentral:rRNA from 1 species